UCUGCAUAAUUUGUGGGACUAAAGGCUCUAAAAAUUAACCAUCGACUAAUUUGUGUAGGUUCCUCUGGGCUCUUGGCAUUUUAUAACUGACCCUAAAACCCAAUGGGCAGUCCCCAGGAUCCCAUCUAGGUGCCGACCAUUAGCCUAAGCGUUCCCAUUCCCUUUCACUUUCUCGCCCCCACCCAAAACAAUUUCCCUUUGUGUUAAGUUCAAGGCCAAGGUCUACGAUAGACCAAAAAUUGCUCCGGAUGUAUUAUUCACAUCAUGCGUUUUGGGGGACUUUCAUCUUC